CGAGGUGUAACUCAGUUUGGUAGAGUGCUUGGUUUGGGACCAAGAAGCCGUGGGUUCAAGUCCUACCACCUCGACCA
rnacentral:tRNA from 1 species